AAUAUAAUUAUGUAUUUAAUAUAUAAUUUACUAAGUAACGUGGUGAGAGCCAUGUUAGUAGAUUUUAGUUGAUUGUAGAAUAUAAUUUGAUUAUUACCUUGAGAAGAGGUUGUUUAAAAAGAUUACUAUAGAAUUUGUAUAAUUUUAAUUUCCUAUUUGAUAGUGGCUUUUAAGAUUGGUUUUGGUUGGUAGUAACUUCUAAAUAUUUAAAAUCAUCUUUGUUAGACAUUGGUGACCUUUGAAAACUUAUUUUGGUUCUUUUAUUUGAUAUUUAGAGCAUAAAUUAUAUAAAUCUUAUAAGAAAAAGGAUUGAAGAAGGGUUUUGGUAGCAAAGG
rnacentral:lncRNA from 1 species